UAUUUCCACGAUUAAUGUGGGCUUUUCUGCGUUUUUCUGCACAGUGGGAAAGUUUUCUUUGGUAGGCCUGAUACCCAUGAUUGUAGGUUCUAUCAAAGUGGUAAAAGCCUACAACUUUCGUUACCCCAGGCUCUGUGAAAUACUGUUCAAACAGGUGCCAUGUUAACAAAGGUUACUACGUUUUUUCCACUUUAAUAUUACAAAAAUGAAAAGAUGCUAAACAUAUAUUUCCUGACCUUUUGAAGCCCAAGCUAGUAUCAACCAAUCUGUGAGGUCCAAGGUUACCCGACACGAAGUUGAUUAUACAAGUAUCAUAUGACCUUGAUGGGAAGAUGACGACCCUGCUGUGUACAAAGCUUAGCAAUAACUGAGACAAGACUUGCAAGGUCACAGUCACCUUUCAUCACACUAUUUUGUUCACCUUUACACAGCAUUUGUCUGUAGUUAUAUACAAUCUCUUUUUUUCUUCAAAAAGACACUUUUCAAGAUUUGAUGCAACUAAAUUCUUUAGAAAUGUUUAUAAUUAGUUCCUCAUGCCGCAUGUUGAGAGAGAUUAAUUGAUUAAUUUGUCUGUCAUUUUGAGAAACAAUGUUAUAUAUUUCUAUUGUAAACCCAUUUUUUUCACCUUGUUUACACCUAGUAUUGUAAUUUAGAAAUCCAUGCUGAUGUUAUGAAUCUGAAUGAAUGUACUAAUAGCGUAUGUUAUGCUCUCAGAACUUUGUGGCAUCACAUUCUCUGUACACAGCAUGCCAGACGUGCAUGAUAUGUACAUAGCUUUGCUACAGUCAAAUGAAUUUCUUUUAUAUGAUCUGUGUUCAUCAAAUUUAAUUUAAAAUACUCACUACUUAAGGAGCCUUGCAAAUAUCACUUACAUCAACUUUGGAUGAACCAACAAAUGUUUUAUAUUUAAUUUUUUAUACAAAUGAAUUGUCUUGGUUUGUACUUUUCUAUUACAAAAGAGGAAUCUAUUAAAAUGAAAUAUCAUGUUGCCCAUUUCCAUGAAUCAAAGACCCCAUUGAAUUCAGAGGUGAUGGUUGAUGCCACAGGUUUGUGAUAUUACUUUUUGGUGUAAGAUUUGUAUAUAUUGUGAAUACUCUAAACAGAAGAGAUUAUACCAUGCACAUAAAAUGUCAGAAAUAAUAUUAGUGUGAUAUAAAAGCUCACUGUAUAAACUGUACAAUGUAGAAUUGCCUAGCUAAGGUGAUAUUCUAGCUGCAAUAUCAUGGACCUUCUCAAAUGUAUUACUAACAUUUAGAAACUACAAACCCAUGGUUGAACUUAAUGUUAAGUAAAAUUUUGUGGAAAUUAAUUUUGUUGUACAGUGUAUUUCUGAUCAUGGAUCUGAAUUGACAAAAAGCAAGUCAGCUUGAUGAGACUGAAAAACCUUUGUUCUUUAUUGAGAGAGAUACUGGACUUAAAAUCAUACUAACAGUUUGCUAUAAGAGCAACCAGAGACUAAUGCCUCACAUUAAUAUCAUUGUUUAUUAGACUUCACUCAUAUCACCAAACUCAUGCAUUGUUAACCAAGUAUUAUGGAUUAUAUUUUAUAUAUUGAAUAAAUAAUCUAUGUAAUAUA